UGGAGACUCACCAGGGGAGAAGAAACUUUGUCCUACUUAAGACCUAAAUAAUAGGUGAACCUGUGAAUAAUUAUUCAUGGAGAUGCUUAGAUGCUGUGGAUGAGCCAAGAUCAGCAAAAAGCCUGAGAAGUGAUAUUAUCUGGAUUUCUUUGAAAGUAAAACUUACAUUCAAGGAACUAUAAUUUCAAUUUCAAUCAUACCAUGGAUACAUCCAUCUUGGAUCCUUAGGUCCAGAAAACCACCACCACCACCAAGCAACCAUCAAAUCACAUGCAGCUAUGGCCCAAACAGAACAAUGGCACUUGGCUCCCAUCCCAAUUCCUUUGGGAG